rnacentral:rRNA from 1 species
UUGAACGCUGGCGGCAGGCCUAACACAUGCAAGUCGAGCGGAUGAAGAGAGCUUGCUCCUGGAUUCAGCGGCGGACGGGUGAGUAAUGCCUAGGAAUCUGCCUGGUAGUGGGGGAUAACGUCCGGAAACGGGCGCUAAUACCGCAUACGUCCUGAGGGAGAAAGUGGGGGAUCUUCGGACCUCACGCUAUCAGAUGAGCCUAGGUCGGAUUAGCUAGUUGGUGGGGUAAAGGCCUACCAAGGCGACGAUCCGUAACUGGUCUGAGAGGAUGAUCAGUCACACUGGAACUGAGACACGGUCCAGACUCCUACGGGAGGCAGCAGUGGGGAAUAUUGGACAAUGGGCGAAAGCCUGAUCCAGCCAUGCCGCGUGUGUGAAGAAGGUCUUCGGAUUGUAAAGCACUUUAAGUUGGGAGGAAGGGCAGUAAGUUAAUACCUUGCUGUUUUGACGUUACCAACAGAAUAAGCACCGGCUAACUUCGUG